AUGGUUAAGUGGGAAACGAUGUGGGAAGGCCCAGACAGCCAGGAUGUUGGCUUAGAAGCAGCCAUCAUUUAAAGAAAGCGUAAUAGCUCACUGGUCGAGUCGGCCUGCGCGGAAGAUGUAACGGGGCUAAACCAUGCACCGAAGCUGCGGCAGCGACACUAUGUGUUGUUGGGUAGGGGAGCGUUCUGUAAGCCUGUGAAGGUGUGCUGUGAGGCAUGCUGGAGGUAUCAGAAGUGCGAAUGCUGACAUAAGUAACGAUAAAGCGGGUGAAAAGCCCGCUCGCCGGAAGACCAAGGGUUCCUGUCCAACGUUAAUCGGGGCAGGGUGAGUCGACCCCUAAGGCGAGGCCGAAAGGCGUAGUCGAUGGGAAACAGGUUAAUAUUCCUGUACUUGGUGUUACUGCGAAGGGGGGACGGAGAAGGCUAUGUUGGCCGGGCGACGGUUGUCCCGGUUUAAGCGUGUAGGCUGAUUUUCCAGGCAAAUCCGGAAAAUCAAGGCUGAGGCGUGAUGACGAGGCACUACGGUGCUGAAGCAACAAAUGCCCUGCUUCCAGGAAAAGCCUCUAAGCAUCAGGUAACAUCAAAUCGUACCCCAAACCGACACAGGUGGUCAGGUAGAGAAUACCAAGGCGCUUGAGAGAACUCGGGUGAAGGAACUAGGCAAAAUGGUGCCGUAACUUCGGGAGAAGGCACGCUGAUAUGUAGGUGAAGCGACUUGCUCGUGGAGCUGAAAUCAGUCGAAGAUACCAGCUGGCUGCAACUGUUUAUUAAAAACACAGCACUGUGCAAACACGAAAGUGGACGUAUACGGUGUGACGCCUGCCCGGUGCCGGAAGGUUAAUUGAUGGGGUUAGCGGUAACGCGAAGCUCUUGAUCGAAGCCCCGGUAAACGGCGGCCGUAACUAUAACGGUCCUAAGGUAGCGAAAUUCCUUGUCGGGUAAGUUCCGACCUGCACGAAUGGCGUAAUGAUGGCCAGGCUGUCUCCACCCGAGACUCAGUGAAAUUGAACUCGCUGUGAAGAUGCAGUGUACCCGCGGCAAGACGGAAAGACCCCGUGAACCUUUACUAUAGCUUGACACUGAACAUUGAGCCUUGAUGUGUAGGAUAGGUGGGAGGCUUUGAAGUGUGGACGCCAGUCUGCAUGGAGCCGACCUUGAAAUACCACCCUUUAAUGUUUGAUGUUCUAACGUUGGCCCGUUAUCCGGGUUGCGGACAGUGUCUGGUGGGUAGUUUGACUGGGGCGGUCUCCUCCUAAAGAGUAACGGAGGAGCACGAAGGUUGGCUAAUCCUGGUCGGACAUCAGGAGGUUAGUGCAAUGGCAUAAGCCAGCUUGACUGCGAGCGUGACGGCGCGAGCAGGUGCGAAAGCAGGUCAUAGUGAUCCGGUGGUUCUGAAUGGAAGGGCCAUCGCUCAACGGAUAAAAGGUACUCCGGGGAUAACAGGCUGAUACCGCCCAAGAGUUCAUAUCGACGGCGGUGUUUGGCACCUCGAUGUCGGCUCAUCACAUCCUGGGGCUGAAGUAGGUCCCAAGGGUAUGGCUGUUCGCCAUUUAAAGUGGUACGCGAGCUGGGUUUAGAACGUCGUGAGACAGUUCGGUCCCUAUCUGCCGUGGGCGCUGGAGAACUGAGGGGGGCUGCUCCUAGUACGAGAGGACCGGAGUGGACGCAUCACUGGUGUUCGGGUUGUCAUGCCAAUGGCACUGCCCGGUAGCUAAAUGCGGAAGAGAUAAGUGCUGAAAGCAUCUAAGCACGAAACUUGCCCCG
rnacentral:rRNA from 1 species